GAUGUCCGGCAGGUUCUUGCAGGCUUACCGGAUGGCAAACAAAUUGUUCAGAGCCUUGAGGAUGCUAAUGUUAUCACAACUAGCCAGAGACGUCUUCUUGUCCGAAUUCUGGUGUCACACCUUAUUGAGAAGUUUGGAGAGAAUCCUUCAUCAGAGACCAAAAUGGCUCUGGCAUCGGAUUUGGUUCAGUCAUUUCCAAGUUUGAAAGACUCAUCAAGCUCUGGAAGAGAAAUAUGGUACACUCCAGGACGAUACCACCGGCCAGCCACUGGAUUCUUGGAAGAAAGACUACGGAACAUCAGGAAGAGACUUAGAUCGAUCAGCAGGUCACGGAGCAUGGCACAGACAUCACCUCAAACACCACGUGACGGUGCUUCUGCAAGAGCUCUCCUACCGGGUAAUUAUGAAACUUAAAAAAUGGUUUGAUGAAGCAAAACAUUUUUUGAUGACUGACAACAUUCUUGUUAUUUUUUUUCACAGAAUGUAGCAUAUCAGAUGAACGUGCGGCACAGCUUGAGGAACAACUCUCAGCCCCUUAGCCAGGUAGAGACCUACAUGAAGGAAACAGCAAUCUACAGGGCCAAGUGCAUUAGGGACAACAGUUGGACCAUUGAUCAGAUCCUCCAAGAGUUCCCCCACCUUAUGACCAAAGGCAUGAUUGCACAGGACUUUCUUCUCCUCCAUGGGGAUGCUGCAUCAAAGUUGUUUGAAAAUUGGAUACCCUUUUAUGCUGAGAAGAUCCUACACCUGGCAAGACAGGAAGGGAAACUGACAAUGCCCCUGGAUGGGUUAACAACAGAUGCUGUUGGGGAACUUGCCCUAAGGCAGCUGCCAGUCUUGCUUCCUCCAACUGCUUACAAAGUCGGUCGUGGCCGUGGAGCAAAAAUGGUUCGCCACACCAUUAAAGAAGGCAGCUUGGCCCUAAUCGAUCAUAAGCCUCUGGGCUUAUUUGUGUGGACCGCGUCUUUGCCUGCGUCGCCUAUUGGAGACAGUGUUUCUGCACUGUAUCUAUGGGAUCUGGCGGAGCUCAGUGGAAUAAACCUGGAACAAAUAUGGUGGAGUACCUCCAUGAGGCCAUGGCAUCCAGACCUUACCCCUAUGUCCUGACACUGGGAAAUGACAAUCGGCAUACAGCUCAGACCUUUGUCAUCAUUGCUGGACAGGCUUUGGAACAUGACACUCUGCUUCAGGCCAUUGAUGUCUGCUUUAAGGCAUUCUUUAUUUUGGACAUUAAAUACCCAAAGCAAUGUGAACAUGUGUGGGAGUUUCUGCAGAGUGUUAUUUAUGAAAUGCCAGGAGGGGAGUCUAAACUGGUAAAGUUCCUUCAAACAAGAAUACUUGCUUGCCAGUAGAACCAACAGCUUUAAUGUCAAUUUGUUACUAGACCUGUUAAAUGCUGUCCGUUGUUAAGCAUGGUUUUAAUGAAACUAAUUUCUUACAUUAUAUAUUGUUGGUAUUGAAUAAAAUGGCCUCAAGGACAGCUUGUUGCUACUAG
rnacentral:lncRNA from 1 species